CCCUCGCUGCCACCUCCCACACGCUGCUCCACCACUUCCUCCUCCGCACGCCGCCCUCCCCUGCCAAGCCUUCCACCCAUCUCUGUUAAGAUCUCUGUUAAAAUCUCUCCUCAAUCUUCCUAAUUCUCUCUUCACCUGCCACCAGCCGCCCGCCAUCCGCCGCCGCCGCCGAGACCUUGUCACCGGCCGCUGUUGUCCAGACCCUCGAAGGACUCCCCUGCAGUUGGUAAAUGUUUUUAUUUUAAAUCUAAUUACAAAAACUAAAAAUGGCCGACGAACAUGAGUCCAUCGGAAAGGGGGGAGGGACGGCGACUGCAGUUCUGACGCCGUGUCCGUCGGCGGUCCUAGGGCACACAUAUAUGGCAAACCUCUUCGGAUUUCAACACUUCACAAAAAAAAAUGGAGCCCUAAAUCGAGCCCUAGUCUCCCACCCCGUGCAAUCGAUGGAGGUCUAAGCAUCCACCCACGCCGCCGGAAGCCGCCGCCACCAACCCGCUGCAAGUGUCCGACAACGCCCCUGCUCCCGCUCCACCGCCGUCGCACCGGCACCUCUCUUUUAUCUCCGGGUUUAGUGUGUGUCUUCCUUACCCCCAGCCGAUUGCAGUUGCUUCACCAUUGCGCGGUUUGAUUUUUCUCCUUGCGUUAUAUGUCUCUAAAUGUGAGAUUGAGCUAUUGUGUGUUAGAUUUCUGAAAAUUUGCAGCUUUCUUUGUGUGUGUGGAUUAAUUUUAUUACUAUGUUGAUGAACUUGAAUUUAGUGUUAAUAAAUUUGAAAUUAGUGUUGUUGUUGAGGCUAUGUUAGAUUUCUAUGCUUUAGUCCAUUGUAAGAAGGAAUGCAACAAAGUUGUCCAUUGAUAGACUACCAUCUUAUGAGAUAAUGUGCUUAUGAAUAAGUAAUGUUUAGCGAUUUGGACUGAUUCUCGAUUGGUGAAUGCUAGUAGAUGAAGUUUUACUUAAGCUGCAUUGACUAUUAGCACGUCUGUUUAUUUGAGUGAUAUAUUGGUUAGCGCUUAAGAGAAAUUCGGUUGAAAUAUAAUUUUUGUUGCUUUUACUUGGGCACUGUUGAGAGAAAUUCGGUUGAAAUGUUGUUGACAAAGUCCCCAGGGAGCUCUGUUACUGUAUUGUACACUUAAGCUGAGGUUGCUGCUACUCUUUUAUUUCCAUUUAAGCUGAGGUUGCUGCUACUCUCUUAAAUUGCUCCCAGCUUGUGUUGAAAAUAUUUGUUUCUUCAAAUUUCAUUGUUAUUAUUGUUUCUUUGAA